UUUUGCUCCGACCAGCCACCUCCGGCCACCGCCUAGCCCCGCCGGACUUCCCCCGGCAUCCCCCUCGCCCUCCGCCGGCCUCCCCUUGCCGCCCUAGUCGCCGGACGAGCUUCGUCCAGCCAAGAACAGUGGCUGGAAAAAUGGGUUUCCAGCACUGUUCAAGGCCGAUUUGGGCCGUUUCCCGACCCGAACCCGAGCGGUGCUUUGGGAAGAAUCAUUCCUCGCGUCGCCGCCGUCGGAUUGAUCCGAUUUGUGCGCGAUUUGGACCCCGCUGAAGAGCUGAGAAGGAGGAAUUCGAGAAGGAAGACUCGGAGGCGAAUCUUAAGGAAAAAGAUUUUUGGAGGAAGAAGGCAAUCCUGAGAGGGGCCUUGAGUACGGCCUAGUUUGUCUAAGUUUCUGUCCUCUUUUGAGAUCUCCAUUUUGAUGGAAAUAGUUUCGAAGUGGUUUAUGGUUUGUAUAAAAGUUUGGUUAUAAAUUUCUAUAUGAAAAAUAUGGCCCUGCUUUUCUAUCCCA